UACGUAGGGUGCAAGCGUUGUCCGGAAUUAUUGGGCGUAAAGAGCUCGUAGGUGGCCUGUCGCGUCGGCUGUGAAAACUCGGGGCUCAACUCCGAGCUUGCAGUCGAUACGGGCAGGCUAGAGUUCGGCAGGGGAGACUGGAAUUCCUAGUGUAGCGGUGAAAUGCGCAGAUAUCAGGAGGAACACCGGUGGCGAAGGCGGGUCUCUGGGCCGAUACUGACACUGAGGAGCGAAAGCGUGGGGAGCGAACAGG
rnacentral:rRNA from 1 species